rnacentral:rRNA from 1 species
CAUGCAGUCGAGCGAUGAGAUCCCUUCGGGGAUGGAUUAGCGGCGAACGGGUGAGGAAACGUGAAGAUCUGCCUUCAACUCUGGGAUAACACCGGGAACCGGUGCUAAUACCGGAUAUGAGCCUUGAUCGCAUGAUCGGGGCUGGAAAGUUUUUCGGUUGAAGAUGACUUCGCGGCCUAUCAGCUAGUUGGUGAGGUAAUGGCUCACCAAGGCGACGACGGGUAGCCGGCCUGAGAGGGCGACCGGCCACACUGGGACUGAGACACGGCCCAGACUCCUACGGGAGGCAGCAGUGGGGAAUAUUGGGCAAUGGACGAAAGUCUGACCCAGCGACGCCGCGUGAGGGAUGAAGGCCUUCGGGUUGUAAACCUCUUUCAGCAGGGAAGAAGCGAAAGUGACGGUACCUGCAGAAGAAGCACCGGCUAACUAUGUGCCAGCAGCCGCGGUAAUACAUAGGGUGCAAGCGUUGUCCGGAAUUAUUGGGCGUAAAGAGCUCGUAGGUGGUUAGUUACGUCGGAUGUGAAAAUCUAGGGCUCAACCCUAGACCUGCAUCCGAUACGGGCUAGCUUGAGUUUGGUAGGGGAGACUGGAAUUCCUGGUGUAGCGGUGGAAUGCGCAGAUAUCAGGAGGAACACCAAUGGCGAAGGCAGGUCUCUGGGCCAAUACUGGCACUGAGGAGCGAAAGUGUGGGGAGCGAACAGGAUUAGAUACCCUGGUAGUCCACACAGUAAACGAUGGGCACUAGUUGUGGGAACCUUCCACGGUUUCUGCGACGCAGCUAACGCAUUAAGUGCCCCGCCUGGGGAGUACGAUCGCAAGAUUAAAACUCAAAGGAAUUGACGGGGCCCCGCACAAGCGGCGGAGCAUGCGGCUUAAUUCGACGCAACGCGAAGAACCUUACCAAGGCUUGACAUAUGCAGGAAUAUGGCAG